rnacentral:rRNA from 1 species
AAUAUUGGUCAAGGGACGCAAGUCUGAACCAGCCAUGCCGCGUGCAGGAAGACUGCCCUAUGUGUUGUAAACUGCUUUUGUACGGGAACAAACCCUUCUACGUGUAGGAGGCUGCGUUUACCGUCAGAAUAAGGAUCAUCUACCUCCGUGCCAGCAGCCGCGGGAAUACGGAGGAUCCCAGCGUUAUCCGGAUUUAUUGGGUUUAAAGGUUUCGUAGGCGGCCCGUUAAGUCAGGGGUGAAAGACGGCAGCUCAACUGUCGCAGUGCCUUUGAUACUGACGGGCUUGAAUGCGGAUGAGGUAGGAGGAAUGAGACAAGUAGCGGUGAAAUGCAUAGAUAUGUCUCAGAACUCCGAUUGCGAAGGAAGCUUACUAAGCCGUGAUUGACGCUGAUGCACGAAAGCGUGGGGAUCAAACAG